UUGUUUUCCACUUCAAAUAUACUAUCUUAUAAUUGCAUAACCACACAUGACCAAGUAACAUAUAGUAUAUUUAGCGCAUCCAAAUUACAUCAAUCAUAAUGAUCUAUCUAGGAAGUUUGAAAUGCAAAACAAAAAUAGUAACUAAGAUAUAAUGGUCCAAGCAUUAUGCAUAAGCUAAAAUUGACCAAAACUUCAUAAGUUCACUUUGUUGCAUAUCCUGAAGAAAGAUCAGACUCAUCUUCAUCACCAUAUGGAUCAUAACGCCCAUUGCCAUAUAAAUCAUGACAACCAUCGCCAUAGACAUCAUCGCCCUUGCCAUAGAUCACGAUUCCUCCGGUAUUGUUUCCCACUCCUAAGAAAUGAUUAGAGUAGUUGUAAGGGAGAUGAAAAUGAUGUUAUCUAGUUGAAAUUUAAUUGAGCAUACAAUGACAAAACUUAGAUGCUCUAAUUGACAGGUUAGCUGCUAUCUAAUAGUAUCAACACAUACUCCAAAUAAUAAAGAUUGAGGACUACACAUUGCUCUGUGUACUAAAGGAAUAAUAUACCAGUAAACCACACUAAUUUCAAUUUAAUAAUAAGUUUGCAACGCUUUAUAAUACAUCAUGCUUUUCUAAUUACUUGUAACAUUCAUAUAAUUCAAAGAACAUGAAAAUUUUCUAAUUAACUGUAUUAAUCAUAUCUCCAGAACCCACAUGUGCGAUGGUUACACCAAGAUGGACAGGUGAUACAGGUAAAAAAAAUCCUUAUCUGAAAUAUACAAUGCCGGGUUGAUAAUCGGUUCAUUGGCUUGUUGCGAUUACAAAAAUUAUAUUAACCAAGUACAAUGGACAUCUACAACCUCGCUGAAGUAUAUACCAGCGUUUAUAUUUUGCAGUAGUAGACUAGCAAACCACUACUGGGCAGCUUGGGCAUACAGUAAACUGGUUAAGAAUGCAAUGUAAAGAAAGAUAUAAUUUGUGUGUUCAUUCAAAACAAAUUAAAUAGCAGCAGCUCACACUAAUCUCCAUCAACAACAAUUUAGAUUAUACUGCACAUACCUAAUUAAAUUAAGCCACUUCUUAUGUUUCGUAUGAGAGGUCAAAAUCAUUCUACAUGGUUAAAGCUACCAGAAUUUCUGUAUGUAGUUCCAAUUCUUCUCAACAAUGUCCACUUUUUUAGACCCUGGUUCCAUUGCUAUAAUGAAACCAAGCUUUCCAUACAUUCUCAAAAGCAUCAUGGUCUCAAACGUUCAGGACCAAAAGAGGCAAAGUCAUUACAGGGAAAAACAAAAGCUAGAAAGGAGGAUGCCUGACAGAGGGUCAAACAUGCCAAAUCAUAUUGUCUAAUUUGAAAUUUUCUCUGUGCAAAUGAUUUUACUGUAAUUGAUUAUAGUAACAUAUUUACCUAUAUGAAUUCAACAAAAAAAUUCCCCUGGCACCUUAAUUAAGAUGGAUUUAGUGUAAAGAAAACAGCCCAAAGAUAGAUUUCUAAGUUAUGAGCGACAUCUAGGAAAUUAGGGCACAAGCAGGUGCAUACAUUAUAUAUACUACAGUAGUACCACCUAUGCAACGUGGUAAGCUAAGAAAACACCUCAAAUAAAAAGAGCAGGACUCGAAGCAAGUUAUCUGUAGCAUGCGUCUUGAAAGCUAUUGUACGCUGGCUCAAAAGCGUUACAUUGUUGUUCUUCAGAUAGACCAACCUUUCACAUAUAUAUGUUUCUCCAUGCUCAUGUCUAGAACUAAAUUGGCGCAUAACUAAAUGUGAUGUAUGACUAAGAGAUGAUAGACCAACCUUUUCAGUUUCACUUUGAUGAACAUCAUCUCGUCCCCUUUCAAAUACGACUUCAUGUACCUAAGCUCAAAAGUGUUACAUUGUUGCUCUUCAGAUAGGCCCAACGGCCACCUGUAUGAUAACAUAGCGUAUAUAAGAACAUCAAAUAAGAACCCCUGCAUUACAUCUUUGAGAAAGAACACACAGGACAUGAUGUUAACAUGUCAGUGGAUGCAUCAGCCUUAGGAACAGGAGCUAAAUGUUACAGAAAUACAAAAUACUGAAAAGAAAAGCAAAAGCGAGAUGAAAGAACUUGGAAAAAGAACAAGGGAUGUACGUACUACAUGAAUGGAGGACUGCUAGUUAAGUUAUACAAUAGUGUGAAGUAUACAUCCCGAUUCUGAUUGCACAUGAUGACAUAGUGUCUCUUCUCUUAUGUACUAGUAAAACUGCGGCAACUAGCUAGCCUUGACCAAACAUACAUGCAUCAACACAAGCUAACUAGCUCACCUCACCGUUGCAAAAUGGCCACUUGCUUAUUAAUCAAACUAUUUUUAAACACAUAUGCUUGACUUUAUUUUCCAAACUAAUAGGCCUGGCUUUGUUUUUCAAUCAUACACACAAAAAAUAGACCUAAACAGACAUGCAAACAACCAUGACCUCGCUGUAGAACUUGAACCUCACCACCACAGAAGCCAGCCAUGUGACCAUCUCCAUCUCCCCGGUAUUCAACUUGAACCACAGGAGCAAAUCCUGGACCCCAACCACCAGAAAAUAAGCUCACCAUCCAUUAAACAGCACACAUACGCCACAUAUAUGACCUGCUCGAGGAAUUGCGCAAAGGAAGAGGCGACCGGACCUGGUACAGGCGGGCAAAGGAAGGAGUGAACGUGGUCUACACAGCGGCAUCAGGUGGCCACUCGGACGAGGAGUUUCAGAAGGGGCCGAUACAUGCCGUGGGAGAGACGAAGAAGACCGACACGGUCCUGAGGAGCGGCGUCGAGCUGUGGCCGGAGGCUGCCAGAUCUGAGGACCACGAAGACGGAGACGAGACUCGAAAGGACACUUCCGCGUCGGGAGGAAGAGCAGGGAGUGGGAGACGUUGCUGGGCCAGGGAGAGCGACGACGGUGAGGUGCGCAGCCGGAUCAACUGGAGACAACGGGGUUGGCUCAUGGCGGCGGCGGCGAAGAAGUUGUUGGGAUUGGGAGAAGAGAAGAUGCGGCGUGGGAGGUUUCAGUGGGAAAGGGGU
rnacentral:lncRNA from 1 species